rnacentral:rRNA from 1 species
CGGGGAAUAUUGGACAAUGGGCGCAAGCCUGAUCCAGCCAUGCCGCGUGAGUGAUGAAGGCCCUAGGGUUGUAAAGCUCUUUCACCGGUGAAGAUAAUGACGGUAACCGGAGAAGAAGCCCCGGCUAACUUCGUGCCAGCAGCCGCGGUAAUACGAAGGGGGCUAGCGUUGUUCGGAUUUACUGGGCGUAAAGCGCACGUAGGCGGACUUUUAAGUCAGGGGUGAAAUCCCGGGGCUCAACCCCGGAACUGCCUUUGAUACUGGAAGUCUUGAGUAUGGUAGAGGUGAGUGGAAUUACGAGUGUAGAGGUGAAAUUCGUAGAUAUUCGGAGGAACACCAGUGGCGAAGGCGGCUCACUGGACCAUUACUGACGCUGAGGUGAGAAAGCGUGGGGAGCAAACAGG